AUUGAACGCUGGCGGCAUGCCUUACACAUGCAAGUCGGACGGAUUUGAGGGGCUUGCUCCUCAAGUUAGUGGCGAACGGGUGAGUAAAGCAUCGGAACGUACCCAGUAGUGGGGGAUAACGUAGCGAAAGUUACGCUAGUACCGCAUACGACCUGAGGGUGAAAGCAGGGGAUCGCAAGACCUCUCGCUAUUGGAGCGGCCGAUGUCGGAUUAGCUAGUUGGUAGGGUAAAAGCCUACCAAGGCGACGAUCCGUAGCUGGUCUGAGAGGACGACCAGCCACACUGGGACUGAGACACGGCCCAGACUCCUACGGGAGGCAGCAGUGGGGAAUUUUGGACAAUGGGCGAAAGCCUGAUCCAGCCAUGCCGCGUGAGUGAAGAAGGCCUUCGGGUUGUAAAGCUCUUUCAGACGGAAAGAAAUCUUCUGGGCUAAUACCCCGGGAGGAUGACGGUACCGUAAGAAGAAGCACCGGCUAACUACGUGCCAGCCGCCGCGGUAA
rnacentral:rRNA from 1 species